rnacentral:piRNA from 1 species
UAAUUCUGAUAGAACUGGCACAG